rnacentral:rRNA from 1 species
UACAGAGGGUGCGAGCGUUAAUCGGAAUUACUGGGCGUAAAGCGCGCGUAGGUGGUUUGUUAAGUCGGAUGUGAAAUCCCUGGGCUCAACCUAGGAACUGCAUUCGAUACUGGCAGGCUAGAGUAUGGUAGAGGGGAGUGGAAUUUCCGGUGUAGCGGUGAAAUGCGUAGAUAUCGGAAGGAACACCAGUGGCGAAGGCGACUCCCUGGGCCAAUACUGACACUGAGGCGCGAAAGCGUGGGGAGCAAACAGG